AGGAGCUUGCUCCUUUGACGUUAGCGGCGGACGGGUGAGUAACACGUGGGUAACCUACCUAUAAGACUGGGACAACUUCGGGAAACCGGAGCUAAUACCGGAUAAUAUGUUGAACCGCAUGGUUCAAUAGUGAAAGAUGGUUUUGCUAUCACUUAUAGAUGGACCCGCGCCGUAUUAGCUAGUUGGUGAGGUAACGGCUCACCAAGGCAACGAUACGUAGCCGACCUGAGGGGGUGAUCGGCCACACUGGAACUGAGACACGGUCCAGACUCCUACGGGAGGCAGCAGUAGGGAAUCUUCCGCAAUGGGCGAAAGCCUGACGGAGCAACGCCGCGUGAGUGAUGAAGGUCUUAGGAUCGUAAAACUCUGUUAUUAGGGAAGAACAAACGUGUAAGUAACUGUGCACGUCUUGACGGUACCUAAUCAGAAAGCCACGGCUAACUACGUGCCAGCAGCCGCGGUAAUACGUAGGUGGCAAGCGUUAUCCGGAAUUAUUGGGCGUAAAGCGCGCGUAGGCGGUUUUUUAAGUCUGAUGUGAAAGCCCACGGCUCAACCGUGGAGGGUCAUUGGAAACUGGAAAACUUGAGUGCAGAAGAGGAAAGUGGAAUUCCAUGUGUAGCGGUGAAAUGCGCAGAGAUAUGGAGGAACACCAGUGGCGAAGGCGACUUUCUGGUCUGUAACUGACGCUGAUGUGCGAAAGCGUGGGGAUCAAACAGGAUUAGAUACCCUGGUAGUCCACGCCGUAAACGAUGAGUGCUAAGUGUUAGGGGGUUUCCGCCCCUUAGUGCUGCAGCUAACGCAUUAAGCACUCCGCCUGGGAGUACGACCCAAGUUGUAU
rnacentral:rRNA from 1 species